AUUCCAGCUCCAAUAGCGUAUAUUUAAGUUGCUGCAGUUAAAAAGCUCGUAGUUGGAUUUCGGAUGGGAUUUGCCGGUCCGCCGUUCCGGUGUGCACUGGCCAGUCUCAUCUUGUUGUUGGGGACUAGCUCCUGGGCUUCACUGUCCGGGACUAGGAGCUGACGAGGUUACUUUGAGUAAAUUAGAGUGUUCAAAGCAAGCCUACGCUCUGAAUACAUUAGCAUGGAAUAACAUGAUAGGACUCUGGCUUAUCUUGUUGGUCUGUGAGACCAGAGUAAUGAUUAAGAGGGACAGUCGGGGACAUUCGUAUUUCAUUGUCAGAGGUGAAAUUCUUGGAUUUAUGAAAGACGAACUUCUGCGAAAGCAUUUGUCAAGGAUGUUUUCAUUG
rnacentral:rRNA from 1 species